rnacentral:rRNA from 1 species
CACGUAGGGUGCGAGCGUUGUCCGGAAUUAUUGGGCGUAAAGAGCUCGUAGGCGGUGUGUCGCGUCGGCCGUGAAAACCUGCAGCUUAACUGUGGGCUUGCGGUCGAUACGGGCAUCACUGGAGUUCGGCAGGGGAGACUGGAAUUCCUGGUGUAGCGGUGAAAUGCGCAGAUAUCAGGAGGAUCACCGGUGGCGAAGGCGGGUCUCUGGGCCGAUACUGACGCUGAGGAGCGAAAGCGUGGGGAGCGAACAGG